rnacentral:rRNA from 1 species
GAUUAUUACCGCGUGAGGGAGGAAUGCUCUUGGGUUGGUUUCCUCUUUUCUCACGGAACAAAAAAAUGACGGUACCUGAGGAAUUGUUGUCGGCUAACUGCCCGACUUCACUGGCCACUGUACAGAGGAUGCUGGCCUUUGCUGGAGUGAUUGCUGGUAAAGGGGCGAUCCGUGCCCUUGUUCCUCUGCUGUUACCUUGUUGGCUUUCCAAAUAAUAGCGUGGAAACUACCAAGCUCCCCCGCGGUCGGGGCAGAGGAAUUCCUGGUGUAGCGGUGAAAUGCCUAUAUAUCAAGAAGAACACCGGUGGCGAACGCGCUCUGCUAUGCCAACACUGACACUGAGGGACGAAAGCUAGGGGAGCGAAUGGGAUUAGAUACCCCAGUAGUCUAGCCGUAAACGAUGGAUAUUAGGCGUAGCUCGUAUAGACCCGAGCUGUGCCGUAGCUAACGCGUUAAUUAUCCCGCCUGGKGAGUGCGCGUGGCAACUGUGAAACUCAAAGGAAUUGACGGGCGCCCCGCACAAGCGGCGGAGUAUGUGGUUUAAUUCUAUGCAACGCGAAGAACCUUAGCCAAGGCCUGACAUGUCACGAAUUCCGUUGAAAGAUAGGAAGUGCACUCAGGACUUUGAACACAGUUGGUGCAUGGCCGUCGUCAGCUCGUGUCGUGAGAUGUGCGGUUAAGUCCCGCAACGAGCGCAACCCUCGUUGUUAGUUGCCAGCAUUAAGUUGGGCACACAGAGAGACUGCCGGUGACAAACCGGAGGAAGGUGGGGAUGACUUCAAGUCAGCAUGCCCCUUACGUCUUGGGGUACACACGUAAUACAAUGCUACGGACAAAGGGCAGGUACAUAGCGAUGUGAUGUGAAUUUCAUAAACCGUAGCUCAGUUCAGAUCGAAGGCCGCAAGUCGCCUUCGUGAAGGAGGAAUCGCUAGUAAUUGCAGGUCAGCAUACUGCACCGAAUUCGUUCUCGGGCCUUGUACACACCGCCCGUCACACCAUGGAAGUUUGUCACGCCCGAAGUCGUUACCCCAACCGCAAGGAGGGGGAUGCCUAAGGUAGGACUGAUGAGUGCGGUCAAGUCGUAACAAGGUAGCCGUACCGGAAGGU